rnacentral:lncRNA from 1 species
AGGGAGGGAGGGAGGGAGAGACUGGUUGUGUACUUUUCAGUUCAGGGCAUCACCCUCUCCAGUUGUGGGAAGCACUUGGAACAGAAUACAACAGCAGCACUUUCCAGCCAGCCUGACAUCCUGCUUCCAGAUGCAAGACUCUGAGUGGGCACAAGGACAGCCCUGAAGCAGCUGCGAGCAAGGAGCUUGAGGUUCUGAUUUGAAAAUCUGAGUCUAGCAGCUUCCAGCUAGGCCCUCACUUUGUCUUCAUCCCCCCUCCCUUCUUGGCCCUCAAAUUAUCCAAAUAAUGUAUUACAGU